AGCAAAACAUAAAUAGUGCCUGAUGUGAUGUUAUUAAUCCAGCCUUGUUCCAAUUAUUAUAAUAUGUACAGCUACAAUUUUGGAAUCAUUUGAUACUCCUAAUUAUCCCAGCGUUAUCGGUGCAAUGAGCUGUCUGAUCUACCUUCGCUGUGGGCCGGUAAAAACCAAUGGAGUACGGAAGACCUGGACAUCGAGUUCGAUUAGUGCUACUCUUGGUGCUACUAUAGCUGAAAGGCAUACCGGCGAGUACCAAAAAGCUUCGCGCAUACCGGCUCAAAUUGAAGCGGAACAAAUUUCUUAUACAAUUUUGGAGUGAAAACGAACGGGGAAUUGAGGCAGCGUCGCACGACGAGAAUUUAGUUACAACCUUGCUUACAACCCAAAAUACUAGCGAGAUCAAAAUGCGACGGAGAAAUGAAACGAGCUACAAAGACACUUCACCGACACGGAUGUCACAAAAAAGAAAAAACAACCAAAUCCUCUGUCCCAAAGCUCC